UGUUCACAUGUUCUGUAGCAAGGAGUUGUAUACAUUAGAAAAAUCGAGAGUAUGGAUUUCUGUGCGGCCGUCUUAGUACUCCCGAAGAGACUGAAAGUUUUUCUUAGAUUUGGGGGUGUCAGAUAUCUAAAUCUGCUUAUGAUAUUGUCACCACGAUUGUCAUGCUCUCAACUUAUGUUUGUAUAGAUUUCGUGAAUGGCAAAUGAAGGCGCCGAUGAUACGAUCAGCAGGAUUGGCUGACGAUAGACUUUCCGAAUUCACAAAAUCGGAACAUUCCCCAGCAAGCAUGUUUAAAUGGUGAAUUAACAGGUGGUGACUUGCACCGAGAAGGACCACAGACCCUGGGACCCAUACCAGAUAGGACUGAGAGAGUACAUUGAACGUAUACAGAGAAGGGCAGCACAAUGGUCACAGGUUUGUUUAACCCAUGGGAGCGUGUCACAAAGAUACUGAAGGAACUGAUCUGGAAGACUCGUCAAGAUAGAUGUAAACUCUACUGAGAAAGUCUACUGACGAAGCUUAAAGAAGCAGCUUUAAGGGGCGGAUGUAAUAGAAAAUGUAAACAUUUAUUUAAAAAAUAAUUUCAGCCACAUUUAUUAUUGUACAAAUAUAAAAUUUUGCAUGUGUAAAGCAAAAGAGCUGUGUUUUAAUGGAAAAAUAUAAUAAAAAUAUGCAGGAUUAA